rnacentral:rRNA from 1 species
UACAGAGGUCUCAAGCGUUGUUCGGAUUCAUUGGGCGUAAAGGGUGUGUAGGUGGCGCGCUAAGUCGGGUGUGAAAUUUCGGAGCUUAACUCCGAAACUGCAUUCGAUACUGGCGUGCUUGAGGACUGGAGAGGAGACUGGAAUUCAUGGUGUAGCAGUGAAAUGCGUAGAGAUCAUGAGGAAGACCAGUGGCGAAGGCGGGUCUCUGGGCCGAUGACUGACGCUGAGGCACGAAAGCGUGGGGAGCAAACAG